AAUGAUUUAUUUAUUUUUAUUUUCGACCACGUGACGUUUUUGAGUUCUAUGAUUGGUCAAUAACAGAGCGCGGAUUUUUCCAUGGACGAUUUGAAUGUUUGGAUGUUGAAAGUGUUGAUAGAAAAAAGGAGAUAAAACCAGUUGCAGAAUAUUGGUACAUGAUGUUUCCAUGAGCUGAAUCUGUCCUGACCUGGAGUACAUGAAAUUCUUCACAAUUUUAUUGUUUAAGAAUUGAAGAAAAGGUUAAAAUUGCAAGCAUAUUUCAACGAAAACUUAGCCGACUACCAGUCACACUGCCCACCAGCCAAGACGUCUGACCAGCUAAAAUGAGGGACGCAGACCACCAGCCAAGUCCCUCGGCCAGCUCGGCUGACCCAGUGUGGCCUGUCAAGGGAUGACCAAGUCCAUCAACUAGCUCGGCUGACUACCAGUGCAGCCUGUCAAGUCCUUCAACUAACUGAAAUGGCCUAUUACCAGUGCGGCCUGUCAUUGAACAACCAAGUCUAUCAACUAGAUUGGCUUACUACCAGAGCGGCUUUUCAAGGGAUGGUCAAGUCCGUCAGAUGCGACCUGUCAAGGGAUGGCCAAGUCCGUCAACUAUCUUGACCAACUACCAGUGCAGCCUGUCAAACGAUGGCCAACCGAAGUCCUUCAACUAACUUGGCCUACUACCAGUGUGGCCUGUCAAACGAUGGCUAAGUGUGUCAGCUAACUUGGUCUACUACCAGUGCGGCCUGUCAAACGAUGGCCAAGUCCUUCAACUAACUUGGUCUACUACCAGUGCGGCCUGUCAAACGAUGGCUAAGUCUGUCAGCUAACUCAGCCAACUUUCAGUGCAGCCUAUCUUCAAAUAAUAAAGAUAAACAACUGUACACCUGCAAGGAUACCUGUGCAAGGAGGGUGGUAUGCAGCUAGAAACUGUGACUGUUUCUUUUUUUUUUGAAAAACAGCUAGAUCAAAAAUAAAUAGGGUGUUAAUAUUUAAAAAUUAGUGAUGUCUGUUUAUACAAUUAGCAAGAGUAGAAUGCAGUUUGCUAGGUAAUUUUACAAAGACCCUAAUUGCUAUAUGCUAAAAAUGUAUUCUUUAAAACAACCAGAGAAAUUUCAAUCUGUUGUAGAUGACAUGAUGUAAAAUAAGGUACACUUGAAUUUUUAAAACAAUUGCAUGUGCAUUCAUUUAGUUGUAUUUGACAAUAAACCAAGCUAUCUUUAUCGUGUUUGUUAGGUAAAAUUGUUAUUGCC